GACGAACGCUGGCGGCGUGCUUAACACAUGCAAGUCGAACGGAAAGGCCCUGCUUUUGUGGGGUGCUCGAGUGGCGAACGGGUGAGUAACACGUGAGUAACCUGCCCUUGACUUUGGGAUAACUUCAGGAAACUGGGGCUAAUACCGGAUAGGAGCUCCUGCUGCAUGGUGGGGGUUGGAAAGUUUCGGCGGUUGGGGAUGGACUCGCGGCUUAUCAGCUUGUUGGUGGGGUAGUGGCUUACCAAGGCUUUGACGGGUAGCCGGCCUGAGAGGGUGACCGGCCACAUUGGGACUGAGAUACGGCCCAGACUCCUACGGGAGGCAGCAGUGGGGAAUCUUGCACAAUGGGCGGAAGCCUGAUGCAGCAGCGCCGCGUGCGGGAUGACGGCCUUCGGGUUGUAAACCGCUUUCGCCUGUGACGAAGCGUGAGUGACGGUAAUGGGUAAAGAAGCACCGGCUAACUACGUG
rnacentral:rRNA from 1 species